rnacentral:lncRNA from 1 species
AUGGGGUGGUUGGUGACGGUGAUGCCUGCGGCACAGGGAGGGCAGCCUCAGGGGCCUGCUCUGCGCCCGGCCUGGCCCACCCCCCGCCCCAGCUCACCCACCAUAGGCCGCAGGGCUGCCCUUGCUCUUGGGCAAGUUGGCACGCAGGAUGGCAUUGUUGAGGCUGUUGAGGUAGGUGGGCAUGCUGUGGUAGCCCUUGUUGUUGUAGAAAACCUGCGGGGAGUACACAGAGACCCCGAGAGCCACGUUGGUCCCUGCAGACCUCGGGCGAGGGCCGGAAGGGCCGGGGCCCGGGGCCGAGCGGCGCUCACCUGGGCUGCCCGCCGCACCGCGAUCCUCCGCACCAUGGCGGGGGCCCGGGCGCCAAACGAGGCUGGGAUGGACUUCUGGACGUUGCCGAAGGUGAUGGCCCCGUACCUGGGCAGCAAGCCGAGGACCGGUGAGCCAGGUGGGAGACGGGUGUCUGCUCCUCGCCCACGGCCAGCGCGCCCCUCCCGCCGGGCUCACCGGUGCAGCCGGAAGCGGUCGGAGGUAAAGAGCAGGUACUCAGAGACAUUGUGGCCGGUGAUGUCGGUCAGGAUGUCUCCCGUGACCACCCGCAUCUGGGGCGGGUGCCCGCCCACACUGCCGGGACAGGAGAAGCCGGUGCCCUGCCCAGAGCAGGUGCAGCGGACGGGCUCCCGCACCAGGCGUGGCAGGGAGGGUGCCGACGUCCAGUUCUCUGUGGGCACAGCGGGCAGAGUCAGCCCAGCCCGUGCUGCCCCGAGCCCCAGGCAUCCCCACCAGCCGGUACCUGGCGAGGAGGUGGGCGGCAGGGAGGUGUUCCAGGCCUGUGGCGGGUCCUCGUCCAGGGACACGGGGGAGUCAGACGGGGCAGGCGAGGGUGGGGGCGGCACGAAGUUGGACAGCGGCAGCCCCUGCGUGAAGGACUCGAGGCACAUGCUGUCGAAGAACCGCGUGGCCAGCAGGCGCGACUCACCACUGCUCAGGUUCAGCGUGGGCCCCAGCGAGCCGUUAGCUGGAGACUUGAGCACACACGUGGCGCCCACGCCUGACGGCAGCCGGAAAGUGCUCACCAGCUGCUGGGGUCCGGCGUCGGGGGACAGCUGCAAUCUGGGAGAGCACAGAGCCAGUCUGGUUUCGGGGACGGGACCCCCCCCCCCCAGCUCUCGCACCGGCCCCCACCCCGCAGGGCGGCCUGUCCCACGGCCUCACCGGUACUCCCGGCGCUCCUCGUUGGCAUAG